GUAGGAGGUGACAAGAGGCAGUAGCGUCUCCUUGGGGUUAGCUCAUAAGACCUGUGGUUCAGAGGUGGCCAAAUCUACAUCUUCUGGCAGCCAACUUGGUAAUGUGCAAGGGUUUCCCAGGUGGUGCUGGUCUUGAAGACAUAAAGGGGUUAUGAAGAGCAGCCAAGGCUGGACACUGGAAAGAGGGCACUGGUGAAUGUGUAGCCUCAGUUGAAGUAGAAGCCCUAGGACGGACAGAGUUAUGGAUAGAAGUUUAGGUGUAGCGCCAUGCAGUAAGGUCAGAGUCCCUGAAAAGUGCCCAGAUGAGGCUAGUGGUAAAGGUGCAAUCCAGUUGCAGUGAAGACCCCAAUAUUUUGGAGCUGUCACUAUGAUGUAAUGACCACCAAGCACAGCAACAUCCAUGGAGUGGAGCUGCUUGGGCUUCUAGGAGAUAAUCUGUUAUGUAUGACAGAGCCAGAGAAAUGUCACUGCCAAACCCUUUGGAGCCCAGAAGAUAAUUGCAAAUCCCAGAAUUCUAACAUUGAAGUUCAUGAUAUUGGAUUUUUUUUAUUUGAUUGUGACUGUCUUGGUUAUUCCCUCAUGAAAUAAAGUAUUUUGAUUUUAAUUUUACAGGAGUCCAACAGUUGAGAUACUUUGAACUUUAAAGAGACUUUGGAGUUUUAGAAAGUUUUGAAUAUUUUAAGGAGACUUUGGACUUUGUGCUUGGAUUUUUAAAGACUGUAGGACUUUUUAAUAUUGGAUUGUUUUAAACCUCAUGUGGUGGUGCAUGCCUUUAAUCCCAUCAUUUGGGAGGCAGGGUCAGGCAGAUCUCUGAGCUUAGGCCAGUUUGGUCUACAAAUUGAGUUCCAGGACAACCAGGGCUGUUUAAACAGAGAAACCGGCAGGGCAUUGGUGGCACACGCCUUUAGUCCCAGCACUUGGGAGGUAGAGGCAGGCAGAUCUCCCGGAGUUCGAGGUGUACAGAGCGAGUGCCAGGAUAGGCUCCAAAGCUACAGAGAAACCCUGACUCAAAAAACCAAAAUAAACAAGUAUAUAGAGAAACCUUGUCUUGAAAAACAAAAUGUUGAAAUGUUUUAUAUUGUAUUUAUAUUGAUGUUGAUAUUACUGUGAGAUUUUGGGGAUGAACAAGAAAGGAAAGGUUAUGGCCUAAUGGUGAUGUGUUUGUGUGUCAAGCACAAAGAGUCAAUUGUGCUGGCCAGUUUUAUGUCAACUCGACACAAACCAGAGUCAUUUGGGAAGAGAACAUCAAUUGAAAGAGUGCUCCCACUAGAUCAGAUAAGUCUGUGGGACAUUUUUAAAUUAGUGAUUGGUGUGAAGUUAGUUCACACCAAUCUUUUGAGUGGUGCCACUCCUAGGAAGGUGAAUGAUCCUGGAAACAUAUAAGUAAACUGAGCAAGUCAUGAGGAACAAACCAGUAAGCUGCACUCCUUUGUUGUUUCUGCAUCAGAUCCUGCCUCCAAGUUCCUGCCUUGAGUUUCUGACUUGACUUCCUUCGAUAAUGAACUGUGAUGUGGAAGUGUGAGCAAAUUAAACCCUUUCCUUUCCAAGCUGCCUUUGGUCAUGGUGUUUCAUCACAACAAUAGAAACCCUAACUAAGACACUAGGUGGAAUGGAUAUAGGGGUUGUGCCCAGACUCUACUGGGCCACAUACACUCCCUAUCCAAGGAGUUUCUUUUACAUUUCUCCCCAUGGAUUGCUGGAUAGAAUGACUCUAUUGUGAAUUAAUCUAGAAACUCUGAGCUUUUCAGCUGCUUAACCUAAAUAAAUCACAAACUGCUGGUUUUUUCAAGGUACCCGUUUC
rnacentral:lncRNA from 1 species